AGUGAACGCUGGCGGUAGGCCUAACACAUGCAAGUCGAACGGCAGCACAGAGGAGCUUGCUCCUUGGGUGGCGAGUGGCGGACGGGUGAGGAAUACAUCGGAAUCUACUCUGUCGUGGGGGAUAACGUAGGGAAACUUACGCUAAUACCGCAUACGACCUACGGGUGAAAGCAGGGGAUCUUCGGACCUUGCGCGAUUGAAUGAGCCGAUGUCGGAUUAGCUAGUUGGCGGGGUAAAGGCCCACCAAGGCGACGAUCCGUAGCUGGUCUGAGAGGAUGAUCAGCCACACUGGAACUGAGACACGGUGCAGACUCCUACGGGAGGCAGCAGUGGGGAAUAUUGGACAAUGGGCGCAAGCCUGAUUCAGCCAUACCGCGUGGGUGAAGAAGGCCUUCGGGUUGUAAAGCCCUUUUGUUGGGAAAGAAAUCCAUCUGGUUAAUACCCGGGUGGGAUGACGGUACCCAAAGAAUAAGCACCGGCUAACUUCGUGCCAGCAGCCGCGGUAA
rnacentral:rRNA from 1 species